CGCUGGCGGCGUGCUUACACAUGCAGUCGAACGGAAGUUACGAGGAAGCUUGCGAAUUGUAACUUUAGUGGCGGACGGGUGAGUAACGCGUGGAUAACCUGCCUACAUGACCGGGACAACACCGGGAAACUGGUGCUAAUACCGGAUACGCUCUUGAUGGCACAUGCAAUUAAGAGGAAAGGAGCAAUCCGCAGGUAGAUGGGUCCGCGUCCCAUUAGCUAGUUGGCGGUGUAAGAGACCACCAAGGCGACGAUGGGUAGCCGGCCUGAGAGGGUGGACGGCCACACUGGAACUGAGACACGGUCCAGACUCCUACGG
rnacentral:rRNA from 1 species